GCCUUUUUUCCUGCCAUCGUGAUCCUCUUACCCAUAACCUAAGUACUAUAUUUUUUUCCGUUAUCCCCUUUGAGAGUUUGGGGCCCGUCUCUGGGAGACAUUACCGAGAGUAAUACUUUUUAAAAUACUGGGUAAAUUGAGGAAGGAGAAGCCCACAGAGAUGCAGAAGAUGAUGAAGUUUGCAUCAUACAUUUGUACCAGCCCUAAGCAAGAUUUAGGACUCCUUUUCUAGCUGAUGAAGUCCAUUGUUGCAAGAGACCCUACAACAGCUUCUAAGACAAGCUUACUUCACUGUUUCUUUGCUGCCUUCGCUUGACCCAGUCAGGCUAGUGGUAGUAACGACGGUGGGUAUUUACCACCCACUUGCUGGAUACACUACGCACUUAGGGAUCUCGUAUGAUCUCAUUUAAGCUUAACAACAAAUUUAAGAUUGUAGGUACUAUUAUCACUGUUCUGUGCUGCCACGAGAAAUAGGCCCUAAAGCGUCAUUAAGGUCAACAAAAGUAUUUUGGGGAAAAGAGGACAAAACACUCCCUGGCGCCCCUGUAAGGAAAGAGCUCAACGCGGGCCGCAGCCGCAAGGAUUUCUGUACCGCGGUCUGCAGGGUGGGGGCGCGGCGGGCUUCCCCGAGGCCCCGCCCCCGCCCCCGCCCCCACAAGCCCUUGCAGCCGCGGCGGCCCCACAGGACAGAAGGACUGGAGCGGGCCGCAGAGAUUUAUGGGAGGUGGUCUGCUGGGUGGGGUCGCCGAGGCCCCGCCUCCUUCCCCUGGGAGCCGCAGAGGCCCCGCCCCGCCGAGGCCCCCCCCCGCCGAGGCCCCGCCCCCGGCCCCCACAAGCCCUUGCAGCCGCCGCAGUGACUGCGCAGAAUGGCUGGAGCGGGCGGCUGCGACGGCGAAGUCCCGGCGCCGGGGAUGGAGAUCAUAGAAAUGAGUGA
rnacentral:lncRNA from 1 species